UACGUAGGCGGAAUAUUAAGUCAGUGGUGAAAUCCUGCGGCUCAACCGUAGAACUGCCAUUGAUACUGAUAUUCUUGAAUGUAGUUGAGGUAGGCGGAAUGUGUAAUGUAGCGGUGAAAUGCUUAGAUAUUACACAGAACACCGAUUGCGAAGGCAGCUUACUAAACUAUGAUUGACGCUGAUGUACGAAAGCGUGGGGAGCGAACAGGAUUAGAUACCCUGGUAGUCC
rnacentral:rRNA from 1 species